AUCAGAUAUUUCUAACUUACAAAAUUUUAAUUAUUUGUCUUUUUUCUUUUCUUCAACAUCUCCUAUCCAUAUUAUUUUAUUUUUAGUAUUUUAAAUCUUAAGUUAUAUAAUUGGUAUCAACACGAAUACAUAUUCAAACAAUUAAGAGAAAACUUCAAAAAAUUCCCAUGUGGUUUCAUAUUUUUUAAUUUUAGUAUCAUGUGGUUUAAAGUGUAUCAAGUUGCUACCCUAUGGUUUCUCACUUUAUCACUUUAGUAUCCUGUGAUUUAAAGUGUAUCAAGUUAAGACUAUGUGAUUUUAUUUUUGUAUCAAGUUAGUACCUGUAAUUUUAUUUUUUUAUCAAGUUUUUACCCCGUGGUUUUUAAACCACAGGGUACUAAAGUGAUAAAGCGCGAAACUACAGAGUACUAAGGUGAUAAAGUGCAAAAUCACAGGGUACUAAUUAACUUGAUACACAUUAAACCACGGGGUAUAAAGUGACAAAAUGAGAAAUCAUAGGGUACUAACUUGAUAUAUUUUAAACCACAGGGUACUAAAGUGAAAAAAAGUGAAA
rnacentral:lncRNA from 1 species